UAUUAGAUUAUAUUAAUUCUUCAGGUUCGUGAUUAUGAACCGAGCUUUGAGUUUGACGUUGCUUUGGAUUAAAAUGCUUUGGGUUAAUUACGCUUCAAAGGGUUGCCUUAAAGCCUUUGCGUGAGCGCGAUAGAGAUAUACCCGUAUGAGGAGGCUUAGAUAGUGGCUAUGUUUUUAGACUUAUGCUUUGGCCUGUGUGCCGCUUUGAGAAUUCUAUGUACUUUGGUUUAGUUGUUGGAUGUUUUGAGAUAUAUUUAAGGAUUAUCGUUUAUACAGUUCAGCUUUUAUGG